rnacentral:Y_RNA from 1 species
GGGUGGUCCAAGUGCAGUGGUGUUCACAGCUAAUUGAUCGCAACCAGUUAUAGAUUCCUUUGUUCCUUCUCCACUCCCACUGCCUCACUUGACUAGCCUAAA